rnacentral:lncRNA from 1 species
AGAUCAAUUAACCUAUUGAAUUGAGUUAUCAAGGAAAUGUAUGGAAAAGAUAUAGCUAGAGCUAAGGAUAUUAUGGACCAAUGUAAAUUAUAUUGGCGAAAAAACAAAGAUAUCAAUGCAAGUAGUCAGGGAUUCAAAUUAUAGUUGAUACAUGUCCCCUUUUUUUUCAAUUUGUAGAAAAAACUAGCACUGUGUUGCUACAUAAACUUCUUGUUUUUGCUAUUGUUUUUCAUGGGUCCUUCAAAGGAUUAACUUGAUUACUUUUUUAGUACAGGCUUUGACAUAAAGCAAUUUCAUGUAAAAGGUCCAAUAGUCCUUCAAAGGAUUAAGUUGAUUACUGUUUUAGUACAGACUUUAACAUAAAGCAAUUUUAUGUAAAAGGCUCAAUAUAUCUUAUUAUGUUUUUCAUGAGUCCUUCAAAUAAUUAAGUUGAUUACUGUUUUAGUACAAGCUUUAACAUAAAGCAAUUUCAUGUAAAAGGCAAAUUUUUAUUCUUUCCAGGCUAAUGUUAUUGGAAGAGAACCUAAUUUCUUUUCAUUCAGUUCCGUAUAAGCACGGUAAAGAUAGGCGUCCUUUCUCCACAUACUUCUUUAUGCCUGACGUCAAUGACAGACUGCCAGUUUUGGUAAACAAGGUCAAUUUCAAAGACCGUUUGUUGGAGAGACACCUACGAUAUCAGAAGGUUGGAAUUAGUGAAUUUCGUACCCUCAAAUUUAAAAGAUCAUUUCAGUUUGAAGCUUCUAACAUUCUGAAAAGGCUUGGCGUGAUAUUAUCUUUCUUUGGUAAUGGCCUCACAGAAAUGGUUCAUCAUGUGUGCUCUAUUAUGUUAUACUACAUUUAAUGGCCUCUACUCUACAUUGUAGUUAGUAUGAAUUUUUCACAUUUUAGUAACUGUCUGUCAUGAAUAUUGCAGUCAAAUUGAUGUGUCAAGAGGAAACACGAAAGCUGUUGUUAUCCAUGCGCCCUACAGACUAACAAAAACUUGCGGUUGGAGAAGAAAUUCA